rnacentral:pre_miRNA from 1 species
UAAAUCUUUGAUCAAAGUGGCCUUCCAAUCACAGUCUACUUUGAUCGGAAAUUUAAUU